GAUGAACGCUGGCGGCGUGCCUAAUACAUGCAAGUCGAGCGAACGGACGAGAAGCUUGCUUCUCUGAUGUUAGCGGCGGACGGGUGAGUAACACGUGGAUAACCUACCUAUAAGACUGGGAUAACUUCGGGAAACCGGAGCUAAUACUGGAUAAUAUUUUGAACCGCAUGGUUCAAAAGUGAAAGACGGUCUUGCUGUCACUUAUAGAUGGAUCCGCGCUGCAUUAGCUAGUUGGUAAGGUAACGGCUUAUCAAGGCAACGAUGCAUAGCCGACCUGAGAGGGUGAUCGCCCACACUGGAACUGAGACACGGUCCAGACUCCUACGGGAGGCAGCAGUAGGGAAUCGUCCGCAAUGGGCGAAAGCCUGACGGAGCAACGCCGCGUGAGUGAUGAAGGUCUUCGGAUCGUAAAACUCUGUUAUUAGGGAAGAACAGAUGUGUAAGUAACUGUGCACAUCUUGACGGUACCUAAUCAGAAAGCCACGGCUAACUACGUG
rnacentral:rRNA from 1 species